rnacentral:ncRNA from 1 species
UGCUACGGUGAAUACGUUCCCGGGUCUUGUACACACCGCCCGUCACACCACGAGAGUUUGUAACACCCGAAGCCGGCGGAGUAACCAUUUAUGGAGCUAGCCGUCGAAGGUGGGACAAAUGAUUGGGGUGAAGUCGUAACAAGGUAGCCGUAUCGGAAGGUGCGGCUGGAUCACCUCCUUU